CCUACGGGAGGCAGCAGUGGGGAAUAUUGCACAAUGGGCGAAAGCCUGACGCAGCAAUGCCGCGUGAGUGAAGAAGGUCUUCGGAUUGUAAAAUUCUAUCCGCUGGGAAGAAAAAAACGAUGUUACCAUAGUAAGAAGCUCCUGCUAACUACGUACCAGCAGCCGUGGUAAUACGGAGGGGGCGAGCGUCGUACGGAAUUACUGGGCGUAAAGAGAGCGUAGGCGGCACUACAAGUCUCAUGUGAAAUACCCGGGCUUAACUUGGGGGUUGCAUGGGAAACUGUAGAGCUUGAGUGCAGGAGAGGUAAGCGGAAUUCCUAGUGUAGCGGUGAAAUGCGUAGAUAUUAGGAGGAACACCAGUGGCGAAGGCGGCUUCCUGGACUGAAACUGACGCUGAGGCUCGAAAGCGUGGGGAGCAAACAGGAUUAGAUACCCGAGUAGUC
rnacentral:rRNA from 1 species